UUUUUAUUUUUCUAAUUUUUACCAACAAAUGUAUGUGAGAAGUAUCUUUCAACCUGUAAAACGUUAUGCUGAUGUUAGUUAUUCUUUUGUUUUUCAUUGUUUUCUUUGACCACUUUUGUUUUUCUUUGAUUUUUCUCUGACAUUAAAGGCACUUUGGUUUCCAUUAUUGGAGGCAAUGAUGGCCCCUCAGAAGCUGUCCAGUUCAGCCAUUCCUCAUCUACACUCUGAAGCUCUGAAAUCUUUGACCAUGCAAGUUUUAAAUAGCAUGGCAGCAUUUAUUGCCCUUCCAUCAAUCUUGCAAAGAAUCUUACAGGAUCCAGUUUAUGGAAAAGGAAAACUUGGAGAAAUCCAGGGACUUAUCUUGGGAAUGUUAGAUACCUUUAACUAUGAACAAACCCUGCUGGAAACAACAACUAGCCUUCUAAACCAAGAUCUCCACUGGUCAUUGUGUAACCUGAGAGCUUCGGUCACCAGAGGACUGAAUCCCAAACAAGAUUACUGCUCUAUAUGUUUGCAGCAGUACAAGAGACGCCAAGAAAUGGUUGAUGAAAUUAUUGUCUUUAG
rnacentral:sRNA from 1 species